rnacentral:lncRNA from 1 species
AUUUGCCUUUUCUUCAAGGAAAUUCAUAAAAAGAAAAAGGACAUUGAAUCAAGAAAACAAUUCAAUAAGAAUCCAUUUUCCUUGAUAACAGGACACAAUUGAAAACACUGGUUAUUUAACCAAAGCUUCAUCUGAAAUGGCAUAUUUUACGGAUAUGACGAGACUGCUUUGAGGAAUUUAAGUGGACCUUAUAAAGUUGAUAAAGAGCCCCUUAGAAAGAUUGGCCUAGUACCUCAUCUACUUGGUUCCCUUAGGAGCCUAGGAACCUCAAGAUAUUUGGGGACCUCAAGAAGAGAGAAAUUCAAUCAAUUUAUGCACAUAUUACAGGCAUAGUGUAAUGGUGAAUCAUUGGCUUGGUUUCCCGGUCUUAAAAGGCUUUUAGAAGUCGAAUUUGAGACUCUUUAUGAAAACAUUCCAGCAAAGUCAACUUAAAGGACCCUAUAUGACCAUUCAUUAUUCUUGUUUAUGCAAAUAAUCAGGCCAAGUAAAAUACUAAAACUUAUUUUGCAAGUAAGUUGGUUUUGCUAAGAUAUAUCUUUGGUAGAAAUGGGGAACUGGGGAGAGAAAAAUUAUGUAUCAGGGAAAAUUAUAACAAACCUAUUAUUACAUUCCAGCUCUCAUCAUUAUUUCUGAGUUUGUAUUAUUUUCCUACAAUUUGGACUAAAUCCCAAAUU